AAACUGUCAAAGUAUUGGUGUGGGGAGGAGGUACUUGAAAUGGAAGCGGGUUCGAGUCAUGGUGGGAUGGGGGCGGAAAGAGAGACAAACUGCAUGCCAACAAGUGUCAUGCCAUGCCAUGUAAUGACCUGUUUUCAAGGGUCUUAGAAGGCGGUAUAAAUUUUCAAUUAAUUUUCAAAGUAUCUCAUAUCAUAGCAAGUCAAUCUAGUUACCUAGAAAUACGAGUAAUGCGAGCUUGAAAAUUAUUUGAAUACAAACAUACAUAUACAUAUAAAAAACUACAUCAAAAUUAACUACAAAUUUUAGCAUACAUUCAUCCCUCUAAUCUAAACAUUUUUAAAAUCCUUCUUGUUCCUUUUGGCAAAAAUUGGGAAAAACAUACAUAAUACACUAAAAGUUACAAAAGUUCUUAACUUUAAUCAUUUUAUAUCAAAAUUAAGUAAAAUUUUAACACGAAAUAGGAAUAGAACUCUUCAUCAAAAUUAAUAUGUCGGAGAUUAUAAAGGUGGUUUAUACUCCUGCUUCACGAGGACGUGUAAUUUGUCA